AUGAACGCUGGCGGCGUGCCUAAUACAUGCAAGUCGCGCGAACGGACGAGAAGCUUGCUUCUCUGAUGUUAGCGGCGGACGGGUGAGUAACACGUGGAUAACCUACCUAUAAGACUGGGAUAACUUCGGGAAACCGGAGCUAAUACCGGAUAAUAUUUUGAACCGCAUGGUUCAAAAGUAAAAGACGGUCUUGCUGUCACUUAUAGAUGGAUCCGCGCUGCAUUAGCUAGUUGGUAAGGUAACGGCUUACCAAGGCAACGAUGCAUAGCCGACCUGAGAGGGUGAUCAGCCACACUGGAACUGAGACACGGUCCAGACUCCUACGGGAGGCAGCAGUAGGGAAUCUUCCGCAAUGGGCGAAAGCCUGACGGAGCAACGCCGCGUGAGUGAUGAAGGUCUUCGGAUCGUAAAACUCUGUUAUUAGGGAAGAACAUAUGUGUAAGUAACUGUGCACAUCUUGACGGUACCUAAUCAGAAAGCCACGGCUAACUACGUG
rnacentral:rRNA from 1 species